rnacentral:lncRNA from 1 species
CCGAGGGGCAGAGCUGCAGGCCGAGGCGGGGUGGCUGCCCGCGGUUUGAUAGUUAAAAGUGUAAAUUGCGCUUGUGGGAGGUGAGCAAGGCCGCUUAGGCCUUCCAUCGCCGCCUGGGCCUAGGUUGAAGCGGUUUUGUCGUAGGAGAUUAUGGAGGGGGAAGAAAAUGGAGUGAGGAAGGAGAGACCAAGCUGCGGAUGACACGGGGACGGUCAGGCCGCCGCAGCGUGGUGCCGAAAACGAGGGAGAGGUCCUACGGAAAGAAGGUGGCUCUGCAAUACGCUUCGUGGUGUCUCGUGCCGUUCUCACGCUCUCGGUGUUAUGAAUCGACGUAAGACUCUCAGUCUUCCUUUACAGUAAAGCUUUGUGACGCUGGCUGUCAUGUGAAAAAGCCAAAACGCCAAGGGUACCCUGGAUUAGCAGGGCAACACCUCAUCCUUCCUUCUUCAUUCUCCUCACGCCUGGGAGAGGUGUCCAUAAACAUGCAAAGCCGUGUCACAGUUCUCCAAAGCUGCCUUUAGGUACUUGCUGACACCAAAAACCUUCGCAGUCGCUAGACUGGUGGUACACUGAAACCACCACCAUCAUGCAGGUAACCUGUGAUCAUUUUUUUGUCGAGCAACAGUCAUCCCAUGGGAAAGUGGGAAGCUGUCUUUUCACCCCACAUUGUCUUUUGUGAGUUCUCUUCUGCAAUGCAGACACUGGGUGGAAACUCUCAAGAUGAAGAGAAUCAAAAUCUGGCACUCUUACUUCCUGAGUAUGGUCUCCAAGAAAACCCUGCCUUCUAAUGCCACUUUCUGGUGCUCAGAUGGCCUGCUUUGUUCUGCCCCAGAC